AGUAGUUUGAUCAUGGCUCGAGGACGAACGCUGGCGGCGUGCCUAACACAUGCAAGUCGAACGGAACUGUUAUGAUUGAUUCUUCGGAUGAAAGAGUUUCAGUUUAGUGGCGGACGGGUGAGUAACGCGUGAGUAACCUGCCUCUGAGAGGGGAAUAACGUUCUGAAAAGAACGCUAAUACCGCAUAACAUAGCGGAGUCGCAUGGCUCUGCUAUCAAAGAUUUAUCGCUCGGAGAUGGACUCGCGUCCGAUUAGUUAGUUGGUGAGGUAACGGCUCACCAAGACCGCGAUCGGUAGCCGGACUGAGAGGUUGAACGGCCACAUUGGGACUGAGACACGGCCCAGACUCC
rnacentral:rRNA from 1 species